AGUGAUAGCGUCGUCUGGUUUUGGUGACAUGGCCCCUCGUGUUAGAUUAUACGUGCGCGCCAAGAUACUCGGGUAUAAAAGGAAUAAAAAGAAUCAGAAUCCGAACGUAUCGCUAUUGAGACUUGAAGGUGUAGACAAGCGUAAGGACACGGCUUUUUACUUAGGCAAGCGAGUAGUUUAUAUAUAUGUGGUGAAGAACAAGACAGGCGUGUCAUACCGUGCUGUUUGGGGGAAGAUAUGCAGUCCUCAUGGCAAUUCAGGCGUCGUAUGCGCUCGAUUUAGGAAGAAUUUGACGCCGAUCUCGAUGGGAAGAACUUGCCGCGUUAUGCUGUAUCCGUCUAGAAUUUAAUUUUUGAUCGUUGAGAUCAGUGACAAAUAAAGUGCAGAGACGUGCGGUUGC